ensembl:snoRNA SNORD73 Small nucleolar RNA SNORD73
AAUGGAUGAUGACAAAAUGUUUCGGUCCCAAAUGAAACACCCUGAUUUUACCGUUACGUUCUGACAUU